rnacentral:rRNA from 1 species
ACUACUCUGUGGUGGAUCACUCGGCUCGUGUGU